GCCCAAGCUCUGCCUCAGUAGUUGAAGUGAGUUCGUUGAGCAAGCUUCGACCUCGAUUUCCCAUCCGCUUGAACUUGCCCGAGCUCCACCCUAGUGGUCGAAGUGAGUUUGUUGUGCAAGCUCUCCGGCUUCCACUUGAUCUUUCCCGGGUCCACAUAUCGCUGGAUAGCUAACCUUUAGCACCGGGUCAGGUUGAAGUGAUGCCCGGUGCACAAGCUCUCAAGCCCUUAACCCUAGCAAUCAAGCAGCACCCACACAAACCUAAGACUCAUGAAACUUGUCAACACUCCACCCGUCGAAGGGCUAGGCCCCAGGUCGAAGCCGAGCUUGUUGUACAAGUUUCCUAGCCUUGAAAUUCG
rnacentral:lncRNA from 1 species